rnacentral:miRNA from 1 species
AGCUGCCUGAUUAAGAGCUUUU